GACGUAGGGCGCGAGCGUUGUCCGGAUUUAUUGGGCGUAAAGAGCUCGUAGGCGGUCUGUCGCGUCUGCUGUGAAAACUCGGGCUUAACCCCGGGCCUGCAGUGGGUACGGGCAGACUAGAGUUCGGCAGGGGAGACUGGAAUUCCUGGUGUAGCGGUGAAAUGCGUAGAUAUCGAGAGGAACACCUGCGGCGAAGGCGGGUUGCUGGGCUGACACUGACGCUCAUGCACGAAAGCGUGGGGAGCAAACAGG
rnacentral:rRNA from 1 species